AGAGUUUGAUCCUGGCUCAGGACGAACGCUGGCGGCGCGCUUAACACAUGCAAGUCGAGCGAGAACCAGGGCUUCGGCCCUGGGGAAAGCGGCGAACGGGUGAGUAACACGUGAGUAACCUGCCCUCGGCACCGGGAUAGCCCGGGGAAACCCGGAUUAAUACCGGAUGGCCUUUCGAGUCUUCGGGCUCGUCAGAAAAGGUAGCUUCGGCCUCCGGCCGAGGAGGGACUCGCGGCGGAUUAGCUUGUUGGUGGGGUAACGGCUCACCAAGGCGACGAUCCGUAGCUGGUCUGAGAGGACGAUCAGCCACACUGGGACUGAGACACGGCCCAGACUCCUACGGGAGGCAGCAGUGGGGAAUCUUGCCCAAUGGGCGCAAGCCUGAGGCAGCGACGCCGCGUGGGGGAAGAAGGCCUUCGGGUUGUAAACCCCUUUCAGGAGGGACGAAGCCACUCGGGUGAAUAGCCCAGAGGGUGACGGUACCUCCAGAAGAAGCCCCGGCUAACUACGUGCCAGCAGCCGCGGUAAUACGUAGGGGGCAAGCGUUGUCCGGAUUUAUUGGGCGUAAAAGAGCGUGUAGGCGGCCAGACAGGUCCGUUGUGAAAACUCGAGGCUCAACCUCGAGACGUCGAUGGAAACCGUCUGGCUAGAGUCCGGAAGAGGAGUGUGGAAUUCCUG
rnacentral:rRNA from 1 species